ACGCUCGACACCUAUGGGAGGCAGCAGUUGGGAAUAUUGGACAAUGGAGGAAACUCUGAUCCAGUGACGCCGCGUGAAGGAAGAAGGUCUUCGGAUUGUAAACUUAUUUUGUCAGGGAAGAAAAAUGACUGUACCUGAAGAAAAAGCACCGGCUAACUACGUGCCUGCAGCCGCGGUAAUCUGAGCGGGCUGGCAAGGC
rnacentral:rRNA from 1 species